rnacentral:rRNA from 1 species
CCUACGGGUGGCAGCAGUGGGGAAUAUUGCACAAUGGGGGGAACCCUGAUGCAGCGACGCCGCGUGGGUGAAGGAGUAUUUCGGUAUGUAAAGCCCUAUCAGCAGGGAAGAACAAUGACGGUACCUGACUAAGAAGCACCGGCUAAAUACGUGCCAGCAACCGCGGUAAUACGUAUGGUGCAAGCGUUAUCCGGAUUUACUGGGUGUAAAGGGAGCGCAGGCGGCGCGUUAAGCCUGGUGUGAAAGCCCGGGGCCCAACCGCGGGACUGCAUUGGGAACUGGCGCGCUGGAGUGCCGGAGGGGUAGGCGGAAUUCGUAGUGUAGCGGUGAAAUGCGUAGAUAUUAGGAGGAACACCAGUGGCGAAGGCGGCCUACUGGACGGUGACUGACGCUGAGGCUCGAAAGCGUGGGGAGCGAACAGGAUUAGAUACCCUAGUAGUC